rnacentral:rRNA from 1 species
GAUGAACGCUGGCGGCGUGCCUAAUACAUGCAAGUCGAGCGAACGGACGAGAAGCUUGCUUCUCUGCUGUUAGCGGCGGACGGGUGAGUAACGCGUGGAUAACCUACCUAUAAGACUGGGAUAACUUCGGGAAACCGGAGCUAAUACCGGAUAAUAUUUUGAACCGCAUGGUUCAAAAGUGAAAGACGGUCUUGCUGUCACUUAUAGAUGGAUCCGCGCUGCAUUAGCUAGUUGGUAAGGUAACGGCUUACCAAGGCAACGAUGCAUAGCCGACCUGAGAGGGUGAUCGGCCACACUGGAACUGAGACACGGUCCAGACUCCUACGGGAGGCAGCAGUAGGGAAUCUUCCGCAAUGGGCGAAAGCCUGACGGAGCAACGCCGCGUGAGUGAUGAAGGUCUUCGGAUCGUAAAACUCUGUUAUUAGGGAAGAACAUAUGUGUAAGUAACUGUGCACAUCUUGACGGUACCUAAUCAGAAAGCCACGGCUAACUACGUG